UGGUGGGUAGUUUGACUGGGGCGGUCUCCUCCCAAAGCGUAACGGAGGAGCACGAAGGUUAGCUAAUCCUGGUCGGACAUCAGGAGGUUAGUGCAAUGGCAUAAGCUAGCUUGACUGCGAGCGUGACGGCGCGAGCAGGUGCGAAAGCAGGUCAUAGUGAUCCGGUGGUUCUGAAUGGAAGGGCCAUCGCUCAACGGAUAAAAGGUACUCCGGGGAUAACAGGCUGAUACCGCCCAAGAGUUCAUAUCGACGGCGGUGUUUGGCACCUCGAUGUCGGCUCAUCACAUCCUGGGGCUGAAGUAGGUCCCAAGGGUAUGGCUGUUCGCCAUUUAAAGUGGUACGCGAGCUGGGUUUAGAACGUCGUGAGACAGUUCGGUCCCUAUCUGCCGUGGGCGCUGGAGAAUUGAGGGGGGCUGCUCCUAGUACGAGAGGACCGGAGUGGACGCAUCACUGGUGUUCGGGUUGUCAUGCCAAUGGCACUGCCCGGUAGCUAAAUGCGGAAGAGAUAAGUGCUGAAAG
rnacentral:rRNA from 1 species